rnacentral:tRNA from 1 species
GUCGGGAUAGCUCAGAUGGUAGAGCAGAGGACUGAAAAUCCUCGUGUCACCAGUUUUCAAAUAAA